UCACUGGGCGUAAAGCGUCUGUAGGUGGUCAAAUAAGUCAACUGUUAAAUCUUGAGGCUUAACCUCAAAAUCGCAGUCGAAACUAUUAGACUAGAGUAUAGUAGGGGUAAAGAGAAUUCCCAGUGUAGCGGUGAAAUGCGUAGAUAUUGGGAAGAACACUAAACAGCGAAGGCACUUUACUAGGCUAAUACUGACGCUGAGAAACGAAAGGUAAGGUAGCGAAACGGAUUAGAUACCCGUGUAGUCUUACCCGUAAACUAUGGACACUAAACGGUAAAUUUUUAAUUUACUGUUAAAGCUAACGCGUUAAGUGUCCCGCCUGGGGAGUAUGCUUGCAAAAGUGAAACUCAAAGGAAUUGACGGGGGCCCGCACAAGCGGUGGAGCAUGUGGUUUAAUUCGACGGUACACGAAGAACCUUACCAGGAUUUGACAUGCUAGAUAGUUGCUUGAAAGAGUAACGUGCCGUAAGGAAUCUAGACACAGGUGGUGCAUGGCUGUCGUCAGUUCGUGUUGUGAAAUGUUGGGUUAAGUCCCGCAACGAACGCAACCCUUGUCUUUAGUUAUUUUCUAAAGAGACUGCCUGUAAUAAACAGGAGGAAGGUAAGGAUGAGGUCGAGUCAUCAUGCCCCUUAUGUCCUGGGCUACACACGUGCUACAAUGGGAAAGACAAUGAGCUGCAAAUCUGUAAAUUUAAGCAAAUCUCUUAAACUUUCUCGUAGUUCGGAUUGUGGGCUGCAACUCGCCCACAUGAAGUUGGAAUCGCUAGUAAUCGCCAGUCAGCUAUAUGGCGGUGAAUCCGUUCCCGGGCCU
rnacentral:rRNA from 1 species